UACGGAGGGUGCAAGCGUUAUCCGGAAUCACUGGGCGUAAAGGGCGCGUAGGCGGUCUGUUAAGUCUGGCGUUAAAGCCUGGGGCUCAACCCCAGAUCAGCGUUGGAUACUGGCAGGCUAGACGGUUGGAGAGGCGAGUGGAAUUACCAGUGUAGCGGUGGAAUACGUAGAUACUGGUAGGAACACCCAUUGCGAAGGCAGCUCACUGGACAACACGUGACGCUGAGGCGCGAAAGUGUGGGGAGCAAACCGGAUUAGAUACCCGGGUAGUCCCU
rnacentral:rRNA from 1 species